rnacentral:tRNA from 1 species
CAGAUGUAGUUUAGCGGCAAAACAGCGGCUUCCCAAGCCGCGGUUGUGGGUUCGACUCCCAUCAUCUG